rnacentral:rRNA from 1 species
UGGGGAAUCUUCCGCAAUGGACGAAAGUCUGACGGAGCAACGCCGCGUGAGUGAAGACGGCCUUCGGGUUGUAAAGCUCUGUUAUUCGGGAAGAACGAUUCGUUUGUGAACAAUGAACGGAAGUGACGGUACCGAAAGAGAAAGCCACGGCUAACUACGUGCCAGCAGCCGCGGUAAUACGUAGGUGGCAAGCGUUGUCCGGAAUUAUUGGGCGUAAAGAGCGCGUAGGCGGUUUGGUAAGUCUGUCUUAGAAGUGCGGGGCUUAACCCCGUGAGGGGACAGAGACUGUCAUACUGGAGUCUCGGAGAGGAAAGCGGAAUUCCUAGUGUAGCGGUGAAAUGCGUAGAGAUUAGGAAGAACACCGGUGGCGAAGGCGGCUUUCUGGACGAGCACUGACGCUGAGGCGCGAAAGCGUGGGGAGCGAACAGG